AACGCACUUGAAUCAUCGUUAGC
rnacentral:miRNA from 1 species